AGGAGAAUACCACAUGGAGACACAGACACACGAGGGGAGGAUGCCUGCUGACCAUGGAGGCAGAAGUGGGACUGACGCAUCGAUCAGCUGAGGGAUGCCAAGCACUGCCAGCAAACACCAGAGGCUUGAUGGGGGCGAGUAUUCUCCUGUGCAGGUAUCAGAGGGAGCCUGGCCUUGCAGAUACCUUGAUUCCUGACUUCUGGCCUCUAAAAUGGAUCCUUGUGCUACCCUGGGCCUG
rnacentral:lncRNA from 10 species